GGUCAUCUUGGCAUUUUAUCUUGCUUAGUUGAUACUAAGUCGGCAUAUUAGCCAGCUGCUUCAAUGAAGAGCUGACUAUGAGGAUAGCUCACUUUUGAGGAGAAAAUCUGCGUCGUCGGUGCUGGCCUUCAGUUGUAGUAGAUAGGUCGGUUCUGCAAGGGAACCAAAACGUAGUCGGUGGUUAGGCCGUUGGUUUUUGAUUUCUUCAAAAAGUCAGAUCCCAAGUUGCAAUGUUGGUGAUCCGACCUCCUCAAUGAGGACCAA
rnacentral:lncRNA from 1 species